AUUGAACGCUGGCGGCAUGCUUUACACAUGCAAGUCGAACGGCAGCGCGGGCUUCGGCCUGGCGGCGAGUGGCGAACGGGCGAGUAAUGCAUCGGAACGUGCCCAGUAGUGGGGGAUAGCCCGGCGAAAGCCGGAUUAAUACCGCAUACGACCUGAGGGUGAAAGCGGGGGACCGAAAGGCCUCGCGCUAUUGGAGCGGCCGAUGUCGGAUUAGCUAGUUGGUGGGGUAAAGGCUUACCAAGGCGACGAUCCGUAGCUGGUCUGAGAGGACGACCAGCCACACUGGGACUGAGACACGGCCCAGACUCCUACGGGAGGCAGCAGUGGGGUAUUUUGGACAAUGGGGGCAACCCUGAUCCAGCCAUGCCGCGUGCGGGAAGAAGGCCUUCGGGUUGUAAACCGCUUUUGUUCGGGAAGAAAUCCUCUGGGCUAAUACCCCGGGGGGAUGACGGUACCGGAAGAAUAAGCACCGGCUAACUACGUG
rnacentral:rRNA from 1 species